rnacentral:rRNA from 1 species
AGAGAGAGACAUGCGCGCAUAUCAAUAAGCGGAGGAAAAGAAACUAACAAGGAUUCCCCUAGUAACGGCGAGUGAAGCGGGAAGAGCUCAAAUUUGAAAUCUUCAAGGGUUCUACCUUUACGAAUUGUAGUUUAAAGAAGUGUUUUCUGUUGAGGUUUUGGUAAAAGUUCUUUGGAAUAGGACAUCAUAGAGGGUGAGAAUCCCGUAUUUGACCUUUACUUUCAACUUCGUGAUACACUUUCAAAGAGUCGGAUUGUUUGGGAAUGCAGUCCAAAAUGGGUGGUAAAUUUCAUCUAAAGCUAAAUAUUGGCGAGAGACCGAUAGCGAACAAGUACCGUGAGGGAAAGAUGAAAAGAACUUUGAAAAGAGAGUUAAACAGUACGUGAAAUUGUCAAAAGGGAAGCGUUUGACACCAGUGUUGUUUUUUCUGAAAAUCAAUUAAAGAACUGUUUAUGCUAAGCUGUUUAGACUUUAUCAGCUAAUCUGUUUAGUUUUGAGCUUUUCUUUAAUGCACUUUUCAGUUAACAAGUCAACAUCAAUUUCUUUUGCUGUAAAAAAGCUUGAGGAAGGUGGCUUGAGAUUCGUCUUAAGUGUUUAUAGCCUCUUGCCUAUGCAGUCGGAGAGAUUGAGGUCUGCAGCGUAGAUCCUUCGGGGCUAAAUGCAUUUGUGCUAAGUUAUAGCAUUUUAUAGACAACUUGUUGACUAUGAUUUGUCUUGUAGCUUACUCGCUUAUGUUAUUUUACCUACGCUUAGGAUGUUGAGCGCAUGUCUCUCUCU